rnacentral:rRNA from 1 species
AUUGAACGCUGGCGGCAUGCCUAACACAUGCAAGUCGAACGGCAGCACAGUAAAGACUUCGGUCUUUAUGGGUGGCGAGUGGCGGACGGGUGAGUAACGCGUAGGAAUCUGUCCUGGAGAGUGGGAUAACCCGAGGAAACUCGGGCCAAUACCGCAUGAUAUCGAGAGAUCAAAGGCAGGGGACCCUUCGGGGCCUUGCGCUCUAGGUUGAGCCUACGUCGGAUUAGCUAGUUGGUGGGGUAAAGGCCUACCAAGGCGACGAGCCGUAGCUGGUCUGAGAGGAUGACCAGCCACACUGGGACUGAGACACGGCCCAGACUCCUGCGGGAGGCAGCAGUGGGGAAUCUUGGACAAUGGGGGGAACCCUGAUCCAGCGAUGCCGCGUGUGUGAAGAAGGCCUUCGGGUUGUAAAGCACUUUAGGUGGGGAAGAAAGGUAAUGAGUGAAUAACUGAUUGCUUUGACGGUACCCGCAGAAUAAGCACCGGCUAACUCUGUGCCAGCCGCCGCAGUAA